CGCAGGUGCUGACGUCGUCUUGCACACUUGUACAGUUCUUGCAAAAAACUAGCUUUGCGAAUAGACUAACGAGAUCGAGGCAUAGCACUGAAACCCUUCCAGAGUUACUUCGGUUGGUACAGUCCAGUAGCGGCGUCCUUGUUCGUAUACGUCGGCUCAAUUCAGCCAAAAGAAACAGCGUCGCCUCCGUUAUUACUUGCCAGCAUCGGGCCGUUCGAAGAGAACAUUAUUGUUUCGACGGGUCGCGAAUGCUGGCAAUUGAAGGAAGCGCAAAACGGGCGCGCAGGCCUAUAUCGCAAAUUGGACCUAAACGACUCACUUAAUCGUCAUAACAGUACGGAUAGAAAGAACGGGCGUGGACCAAGAGUGGGGUGCCUAGCCAAUCGAGUAGAUUGGAUACUGGUUACCUGUUCUGGAUCGACUCGUUCAUGGACCGAACGCUGCCCAUUCGAAACACAAACGGUUUGUUUCCCCUACCGGAUGAUUGCGCGAAAUUACGAAGGGCUCAAUCUCCCCACCUGUUUCAUACGGAAGUGAGAACAAGAUAAACUCCAGAACGUCGAAGCUAUGUGGACAGUCGCGGGCUUUGCAUGCAUACUAGACGGAAAUGCUGAAAUGUUAGAAAAAAUCUCCGGGCUGAAUAGAGAACGGCUCAAUGCCGUGCGGUGCAGACGGCUUUGGAACCUUCAAUACGACUACGAAGAUUGCCUCGGGCAGAUGGCGCUGGCGAGACUCGGUAUCUACCCGUCGACGUACUUGGGUUUACAGUUGUUGCUACUUUACAAAAGAUGCUGGGCAGAUCACGGUUGGAUGCGAAAGCUGGUUGAGGAAAUUUGCAGUGGUUAACCGAAGAAUUAUUAUACAACGUUCAUAUGUUUGAUUUUUAUUAUGAUUAUUAUUGAUUCAUGUUUUUUUGGUACAUACUAAGUUUUGUUUAUUGGCUUACGCAGUGUAUAUCUUUUUUGAGCUUCUUGAGCAAAGGAAGGCUACACUUUAUGUGGUUAUUUAAGUGUACACACACAAAUUAUAUAUUUAAAAGUUAAUCACAUGUUUCAAAAUACAACUAUAUUACAAUUGGACCACAUUUCUGGCACUUUUUUUUUAUGAACUGCACUUGUACACCUUCGUAUCUGAAAUUUGAAUGGUUUACGAACGUAACUUCUACCUUGGAACUACAGGAGCGAAGGCAGCUAGUGAUAUAAAUCUUCUACGUGGCGAAGGAUCUACGGUUGGAGGCACCCGGAGCAGGUUGUCUCGAAAAUAUCCGGAAGGGCAUUUCGAAUCUGAAAAUGAGUCGAGGGCAGAUAAGAUCUAAAUGUAGAGAGGGGUAAUGAUUGUCCAGGGGACUUAUAAAAUGUUAAUGACAAAGCUCUUAAAUAUGGAAAUGACGAGAUGCUCUUUAUAGAAUUGGCGAGAGAGUUCCAAGUUGUAACUAGCAGAGUUCAGAAACCAGAAAAGCGAGCCAUGUAUGAGAACAAUCACACCGUUAAGGUUGAUGCAAUAACGGUAGUGAAAAUACGGUGGUUACAGUUACAGGCCUUAUGUCGUACACUAUUGCUACCACAUAAUCCUUCAUUUCGAAAUCUCGACAAUAUUUUAAUAUUAACACUGUGUCAGAGUCGCCUUUCGAUACUUCAUUAGAACUCUACCGGUGAUUCUUGCUAUAUUGAAGGUAGAUGUUUGU